AUGAGUUAAAGGGCCGCAGUAUUAUGACUGUGCAAAGGUAGCAUAAUUAUUAGGUUUUUAAUUGGAAUCUCGUAUGAAUGGUUGGACAAAAGAACAGCUGUCUUUAAAUUAAAUUUUGAACUUAACUUUUAAGUGAAAAGGCUUAAAUAUUCUAAAGGGACGAUAAGACCCUAUAAAACGUUAUAUUGGGGAGAUAUAAGUCAAAUUUUUAACUGCUUAAAAUUGAAACAAUUAUUUAUGAAAAGAUCCUUUAUAAAGAUUAAAAAAUUAAGUUACUUUAGGGAUAACAGCGUUAUUUCUUUAGAGAGUUCUUAUCGAGAAAGAAGAUUGCGACCUCGAUGUUGAAUUAAAAUAUCUAUAUAAUGUAGUAGUUAUAUAAGAAUUUCUGUUCGACCUUUAAAAUUUU
rnacentral:rRNA from 1 species